AUGCUCUCUUUGGCAACACAUAUUCUAAAAUUGAAACAAUACAGAGAAGAUUUGCAUGGCCUCUGCACAAGGAUGACACACAAAUUUAUGAGUAUUUAUCCUUUUUC